rnacentral:rRNA from 1 species
CCUACGGGUGGCAGCAGUGAGGAAUAUUGGUCAAUGGGAGGAAUCCUGAACCAGCCAUGCCGCGUGCAGGACGACGGCUCUACGAGUUGUAAACUGCUUUUGUACCGGGGUAAAAUGCUCUACGAGUAGGGUUUUGAAAGUACGGUACGAAUAAGGAUCGGCUAACUCCGUGCCAGCAGCCGCGGUAAUACGGAGGAUCCGAGCGUUAUCCGGAUUUAUUGGGUUUAAAGGGAGCGUAGGCCGCAUGUCAAGCGUGCUGUGAAAUGUCCGGGCUCAACCCGGGCCUUGCAGCGCGAACUGGCGUGCUUGAGUCCGCGGAAAGCAGGCGGAAUUCGUCGUGUAGCGGUGAAAUGCUUAGAUAUGACGAAGAACCCCGAUUGCGAAGGCAGCUUGCUGCAGCGGAACUGACGCUGAUGCUCGAAAGCGCGGGUAUCGAACAGGAUUAGAUACCCGAGUAGUC